ensembl:lncRNA
UUUUGCUUCUGUUUUGUUGUAUUCUUUCUUUCUUUUUCUCUUUUUACACUGUUCAGGAUCAAACCCAGGGCUUGGCACAUGCCAAAUCCUCUUCUAAGCAUUUCUGGUAUCCAAAUUGAUUACAUAUGUAAAAAAAUAACUGAAAUGUUCAUAACUUUUGACCUUGUAACAUCUGCCUUCAUACAAGAGCAGCACAUUUAUACACAUAUAUGUAAAUAUCUGCAUAAUAAAAUCAAGGAGAAAAGGUGAGACCUAGAGGGAAUGUCUGCUAAACAGACGGCGCUGUCCAGGCAGUCCAGCUGUUUCUGGGCUGACGUGAAGUUAUAAGCAUUAAACAGGUCCAUAUAAAUGCGGGGAGUGGGGUCCCCAUGAAUUAUUUUUAUAUGAGAAAGAUUUCAAGGCAAUUAAAAGCCUUAGAAAAGUAGUUAUCUAUCAGUUUUUCCUCUGUAAACCAGGUCCUCGCCUUCGCUUCUUCCAUAACUGGUGUAAAAUGUUUGCCUCCGGCUAAACUUGCGUAAUGAGCUCUUCCGGUGCUAUAAAACAAAUGCUUCAUUGUAAUACAUAGAAGAAUGGGCCACUGGGGUGCAGCUGGAAUAGCUCAGUUGGGAGAGUGUUAGACUGAAGAUGUAAAGGUCCCUGGUUCAAUCCUGGGUUUCGGCAGUGGUUUUAUAAACCUCACAGCUGCUCUGCACUUUGGAAAUAAUCCCGAGUUGCUCAGUCACUUUCUGGGCGUUACCUCUCCCACACUCGGUGCUUCUUUUAAACUCCUGAGUGGAAGUCAGCUAAGCUCCCUGGGUUUGGGUCUGACGGUCCCCUCCCUGCGGACCCCAGGAUCGAGGUCUGCUCUGCAGGGCGCUGUAGGGUUCGGCCGACCCAGACCCUGGCCAUAGCUCAGGGGCUGUGCCUGGCCCAGGAAACCUGCUCACUUCCUUCCCCAAGCAGACCUAUCCGAUUUCGAUCCUCAAAGCCUCACAGCGUGCAAAGCAAUCUGCUUCCAUCACCUACCUGUCUGUGCCUGGGAAGGAUGAGCCCAAGGGCAGAAUCACCAGGGGACCCCCAGCAGGAGCCCUCAUCUGUCACCAGGAGCUGUCCACACCCCUGUGGGGUUCAGGUGGAGCACAGGGCAGUCUGGAGGCCCCGGACUGGAGCCUAAUUUUUAAAACUAGCAAAGGACAGCAAAGCAACUUUUGUAAGACGCUGGGCCGCCCUCAGGGGAUGCGACAGACACACACUUGGCUGCGGCAGCUCCUUGGGUUUGGCCAGGCCAGGCAGGAGGAACCUUGGGGAGAGUGGUGAGAUCCGGGUCUCAAAGGCAAAAGGGAGACUGACGCUUUGCAGCCCCCUCCUGUUCAUCCGCUAAGCUGCCUACCGAGGAGGGGCUCCAUCCUCUACAGGCUUUGGUUCUUGGGUGGACAGAUGCGUUUUAUUAGGGGUUUGGGGAAAAUCCAGCGAUGAACAAAAGCAAGGAAACCAAGAUGGUGGCCAAAUACGUGGACAGGCGGCUCUGAGCGACCGGGUCGGCCUGAGGUCCUGGGCGUUUCGCAUGAGCAUGCGUGGUCGGACUGCAGCAACCAGUUGCUUGGUCUAGAAGUUCUUGGGGAGGUAUCUGCUUUUAAAGAUUUGAUGAGCAUUUGCAUCAGCAGGCUUUGAGGACAUGUGGUUAUUGGGAAGCCCCGGAGGGCAAAGCUCUGCGAGGAAGAAGGCUCUCUCAGAACUCAGACAGGAAGAGCGCCUGGGUCUCCAGCUCCAUGCCCCGUGGAAUGCGGAAUGGACUGCCGCAUCAGCUCACUUAGAUUGCAGAUUGCUAAACCUGCUCCACAGGUUUUGAACCUCUCCACCUCCACAAUUGUUUAGACCAAGUUCUUAAAAUCCAUCCGCCUCUAAGUCUGUUUUCUUCUCUAUCUCUUACGGCUGGAAUCCAAAUGUCCCCCCAAAGCCCCGUAGUGCAGGGGGUCCUGUUGUGGCCAGUGGAAUUCUGAGUAACUGAAUGGAUCUGAGGCUCCACCUCACCACGUGGGUCACUUCGUGGUAGAUUAAUAGCUCAGUGGGCUCACUGGGCAGUGCAGCCUAGUUGGAUGAGGUGGGCACUGCGUGCGGUUGUCUUCGAAGGGUACAUCUCGACCCUCCAGCUGGGCUGCAGCGCCACCCUGAGGCCCUCCCUGGCUCUUCCGUGCUCCGCUUCCCGGCUGCCCUGAGGUAACAGCUUUCCGCUCUGAAGGAAUCCAGCGGCGUCGCACCCUGAUCCCAGUUGUCUCUAACCCGCCACUCUCAGCACGACCGAAUCUGGAACUGACACCACCAGCCCUGCUAUUGAUAGCAGCUGGGCUCCUGUUACCCCUUUCGCUCUCUCAGGCUCACUCUUGUCAGGAAGCUGCAACCCUUUUCAGUGAACUCCACCCCUCCUACAAAAGAGCCCACAGCCUGGAGGAGGGCAGCGGUCUGGUCUCCAGGGCCAGAGCCUCCCUCUCGCGUUUGUUCUGCAGUAAACCCGUCCUGUGAGCUCAUACCCGUUUCUUUUCCCUUUUUCCUAACACUUUCCCAUGGCCUUUUAAAAAAGCACAACAUUUAUUGAUGCAUUUUAGAUAUACAUAAGGACAACAUCCAUCUAGGGAAUCUGGCCCUGUGCAUGAUGCAUCUCGCUUCUACUUUUUUUCUCCCAUGCCCUUCUGCCACAAUGUUUCAGUGGACUGAAACAUCUGAAACCAUGCGCCAAAAUAAAUCUUUUCUAUAGUUGGAUAAAUGUACUUACAGGCUAUGGUUUCUGUUUCCCGGGAGUCCCACCGAAUAGGCUACCUGUACCUCACUGGUCCUGUUUCUGGGGAAGCCGGAUAGCGUGUUUUACCCAGGAAGGGGGGAGCGAGACUGCACUGCUGCCCUCAGCCUCGAGAUCGUCCACCUCGGCCUCACGGGGGGAGUCGCCCCUGGAAACCUGGGCCUUUGCCCUCGAAGCCCUAGCCGUUCUCAGCGCGGAGCGGAGUCGCAGCGAGGCGUGCUGGGGCUGCCGGAGGCCGCAGGUCCCGGGCCGAGUCAUCUGGCUGUCCCUGGAAACCCGAGGUUUUCCUGGCGUCGUCAUCGCGCCCCAAAUUUUGUUUUCUGACGAUGCCGUACAAACUGGAGUUCCAAGCCCUCCGCGUCUUUAAGAAUGACUCAUUUCCUGGCAUCUCCCUUUCUGUACAUGAGACACACGUUCAUACACUUGUUUUUCUCUUUCUAUUCUUUUAUUACGAGAGUCAGGUGCUGGGAGGAAGGAGGGCAAGGGAACAGAAAGGGAGGUGACAUCCAGCUAGCCCGGGAAGAGCACAGGCCCGAAAGCCGGAGGUGUCCGGGUGCGUCCUGGGGCGGACCGAGGCCCCAGCUGCGCGUGCGCGGGGCCGGCUAUGGGCGGGGCGAGGGAGGCCGAGAGGCCGGCCGUGGGUGGGGUGUGGCCGAGGGCGUACCCUUCGGUGGGCGUGACCGGGAUCGCUUCACUCCUUGUCCGUUUCUCGGCUUGCGGACUGGGACGUGGCUGCCCUCGGGUCCCGGCCUUGGCCGUGCGCUGCGGCUGGGACCCUUGGCUCCUCCUGCUCGCGGCCGGGCGGGGCGCAGCCUCAUCUUUCGGGGCGGGGUCUCAGCGUCCAGAUCUGCAUCCGCAGCCCGGCCCAGAUGGGUGCCUCCCCUCGCUGGCUGCGUGUAGUCCCUCUGCGCGGCUCGCGGCUUCGGAACCGAGGGGAUCGCGGGCGGGGCGGGGUCCAGAAUCCACCGGGAAGGCGUCUGCAGGUUCGCAGAGAAGCGGAGCACUCUUAAGGCACUGGAGCAGAAGAACACGUUGUGAGCCCGGGUAGCUCAGUCGGUAGAGCAUCAGACUUUUAAUCUGAGGGUCCAGGGUUCGAGUCCCUGUUCGUGGUGCAGCUGCUUUUUAAGUUAUUUUUGCACCAUGAGAACCGGUGUUGGGGGUACCUGUGUCGGCGGCAUUUAGAGAAAGCCGUGUUCGGAUCCUCGGUGGCCACCUUGCCCCGGGGCCGAUGUCCGCACGGCCGCGCCGAGGCCUGGGGGCGCCGCGCACGUCUGCGGGUGACAGCGGGGGCCAAGUCGGGGCUCCGGGACGAGAGGCAGAGCCGGAGUGCGCCCGAGCGCCCCUACCCGGUCCUCCUCCUCCUCCUCCUCCAGGCCUCCAGCCGUGGUGGUCGCUCUGUCUCAGCCCCGACCUUGCGGCCGGCCUGUCCGGGCGCGGACGAGAGGCGCUCUCCGUUCGGCGGCACUGCGCGGCCUUUGGAGCGGAGCCCGGCCGCUGCUGCAGCAGGGCGGGGUUGGGCACCGCCGGCCUGGGGCGGUGAAGGGCGGCCAGGCCGGGCCUCCUUGCUCCCCGCUGUUCUCCAGCCUCACAGCUCAAAGCAGGGCGCUCCGGGAGGCAACAUUUGGAGGAAAAGUUGGAGAGAAGGGAAACGAAUUCUUUCUGUUUCAAAUUCCCCUAGGCACGUGCAAGGAAGCGUUCGUCCCUGCCGAAAUAGCUCAGUUGGGAGAGCGUCAGACUGAAGAUUAAAAGGUCCUAGGUUCGGUCCCAGGUCUCGGCAGGUUGCCGGUGCCCCGCAGCGACAGACGCGAAGCCGGCCCCCAACAUGGGUCUUUCCCCGGAUUCACAGGCGGCCAGGGCCUUAGCCCUGGCUUCUCCUGAGCUCCGUGGUUUAAUACUUGCGGACGCGAAGCAGCACAUCCUGACAACAGGCCACGGGGCAUUGGUUUUUUGAACAGAAAAGUACUGCAUGUCAGUUCAUAGGGAAAACUGAUACAAAGCAAUCUGCAAAGCCGGCUGCGUCUCGCCCCAUCUCUGAACUCCCAGCCUGGGCCCAGCCGGGUUUCCCCCAACACCCGGGGCUCGCUCGGGACUCCGGAAAAGCGAGUGUGGAUUUUAAAAUAGGCUUCGCCCAAACAGGGACUCGAACCCUGGACUCUCAGAUUAAAAGUUUGAUGCUCUAUCGACUGAGCUCCCCGGGCCCUGCGGGCCGGUACCGCCCUCCGCCUGUCUGGCAAAGGCGCCACGGAAGGGCUGUGAUCCUGCGAGGCGAGGGGCCGGAUCCACCGCGACCCCCCGGCCCCCGGGUUCUUAAGCGCUUUGCCCCGCCUUCUCCGGAGGCAGGCGGGACACGCUAUCUGUCAGGUUAUCCCGCGCUUUGGGAUUCCCCGGUUCCACUCAGAUCGGAGCUUCUCAGGCUGGGAUUUCUGAGCGUUCAGCGGAGAAACGUGCAAAGCACCCACGUCCUCAGUGCUGCAAGGUUCUGGAGGAAGCGGUAGAUGUUGGAAAAUCACAGCAAACGCGCUGCGUCCUCCCCCCUCCUCCCGGCCUUGCAGCCGCGUUCGGGCCGUCCCGUCUCCCCGGAGGUACCUGAGGACCGAGCCCGGUGGUCCCGGCGCCGCCUUGGUUCCUCCGCGCCGGCCCGCGGGGCCACCCGAAGCCUCUCGCAGCGCCGGCCCCUCCUCAGUCCUCCCGCGCGUCCGCCCGCAGGCCGGCCGGCUCCUCCUCCCGCCCCUCGGCCUUUGCGCGGCGGCGCAGCAACAUCGGUGGAGAGGAUCGGGUCUGCUUUCGGUGGACGCUGCCUUCGCUCCUUCCCAGCCGUGGAUUCUCAAGUCGUCCCGCAUUCUCUGCUCUGGCGAAAAGGAACUGUCUGGGGUUCAGAUUCAGACCCAGAUCCCGGCGUCUGCGCACCUAAAGUCCCAACAGGGAACGCCGAAGGGCGAACACAGAGCCGCCAGAAGUGGGGUUCGAACCCGCGCACCCCAGAGACCACGGAGCCCUAAGUCCGACGCUCUAACCAUUCGGCCACCCCGGCACCCUGCCGGAUGGCGUUUUCCUUCCGGGCGACUCGGGCAACACGGACUGAAGUUUCCGAACAGCUCGGGAUGGAUUCGGAUCGCGAGCGUUGCAUGGAAACAGAACGAGCAAAGCCACGCUCAGCCCGCGUCUCCUCGAUCGCAUCUCGUGGAUCUCUGGGUUCAGUACCCAGAAACCGGAGCCCCGGGAAAGCGAUGGAGGAGCCUCGGGAGGGGGCCCGACGCGCCGGAGCGACCGCCUUUGUCCCCAACCAGGGCGCGGCCGAGUGCGGAUUAAAGGCUUCUGUCACUUUAAUUUUCUUUAUCCGACUUCAUCAAAACAAAGCGACUCUGGUGGGACUCGAACCCACAACCUUUGAAUGUCUUUGUUUGUCUAGAAGUCCAAUGCGCUAUCCAUUGCGCCACAGAGCCAGAUGCUUGGAGGUUGCCCCGAGCCGCCUACAGCUCCGUGGCGGGCGCGCGUUCUCGCCCCGGGAGCCGCGCCGGGCGGGCGAGGAGCAGGAGCAUGAGCGGCAGCGGCGGGGGAAGCCGGGCACGGGCGGCUCGGUCCCGGCGGGCGCAGGCCGAGGGCUGCGCGCGGGGUUGAUUACGCCCGGAGGCGGCCGGCCACCGCGCGGUUCCAUAGUGUAGCGGUUAUCACGUCUGCUUUACACGCAGAAGGUCCUGGGUUCGAGCCCCAGUGGAACCAGGGCGUGGGCUUUGUCCCUUUUAGGGAAAAAUCACCCAUUUAGGGCGAAAGUUAGCUUUUGCGAGCCAGAGUUCGCCACGUCCAGCUGGAGACGCGCGAGUCGUCCUCUCCGCUGCCUCGGCGCUCGCAGCCGGCCUGUACCGGCCCGGUUCUCGGGGCGCUCGGGCCUCCCGUGGCUCACGGCUGCCCCCGCGUGGCGGCUCCGCGGAGGUGCAGCCGGGCCCCUGCGCCUGCGCAGUUCGGCGGCCAGCCUUCCCGCGGUGCUCGCUCGCGUCCCCGAUUCCGCGCGGGCCGGCCUGGAAGCCGGAAGUCACGUCCGCGGCCUCGCUUUCCGACAGCUCGAAGUACGUUACGGGCAAGCCAACCCCACGCACAGAGGGUACGGGGCGCGCCGGGUCUCCCGGGGGGCUCCCUCGUCCAGUGCUCUCUGGCUUUCUGUGUAGAUUCACAUGCAGGACAUUUGCACAACUUUUUCUUUUCCUCUUCGGUUUCCGCGCGGGGCCCAGAGCGCCAGGCUGCGCCCGCGCGUGCUGGCCUCGAGCUCCGGGCCCGCUCAGGACGAGGCCGCUCUGCGUCCCGCGGGCGUGCAGCCUUUCAGGGGUCCCCCUCACCCUUCACCGCUGUUUCGGGAGCGGGCAGGGGCCUUGCAGUUCCUUGCUUGGAAAAAUCCUGCCCCACUCUGAGUCGUAUCCCGGGACCCGAGGUCGUGUUGCAGGACCGUGCUGUCUCCCCCGGUGACGGUCUGGCUGACAGCUUUCCAGGUGCUUAGGGCUCUGCCGCCUCCGGGUCGGCGUCUGCGGCUCUGGCUAGGGAACCGCCCGGGCUGAGCACCUGGGUCUGCCUGCUGGGCCUCUCCAGGGUGUCUCCUGCCUCAGCCCUCAGCGGACCUUCUCCUUGGGUGCAGAUCUGUGCCCCCAUCCCCACCCCACUGGCAAGGGCGCCACCCCACGGCCACAUUGGAUUUUUUUGUGUGUGUGCUC